AGUAAAGGUUUAUUCCGGUAAGGGAUGGGUCUGCGCCCUAUCAGCUUGUUGGUAAGGUAAUGGCUUACCAAGGCUAUGACGGGUAGGCGGAGUGAGAGCUUGUCCGCCAACAAUGGCACUGAGACACUGGCCAUACUCCUACGGGAGGCUGCAGUCGAGAAUAUUGGUCAAUGGACGAAAGUCUGAACCAGCGACGUCGCGUGUAGGAAUAAGAUCUUCGGAUUGUAAACUACUUUUAUAAGGGAAGAAUCUUUUAGAUGACGGUACCUUAUGAAUAAGGGGUGACAAAACUCGUGCCAGCAGUAGCGGUAAUACGAGUGCCCCAAGCGUUAUCCGGAUUAAUUGGGCGUAAAGGGUCCGUAGGCGGUUUGUUAAGUUUUUCGUUAAAUCUCCAGGGCUUAACCUUGGAGUUGCGGAAAAAACUAACAGACUAGAGGAUGUUAGGGGCUAGCGGAAUGUCUGGUGUAGGGGUGAAAUCCGUUGAUAUCAGAUGGAACACCAAAAGCGAAGGCAGCUAGCUGGGGCAAUCCUGACGCUCAGGGACGAAAGCGUGGGGAGAAAAGAAAAGUACAUACCCUCGUAUUCCACGCCAUAAACGAUGAGCACUAGCUAUUGCAAGUGUCGACCCUCGCAGUGGUCAAGCUAACGCGUUAAGUGCUCCGCCUGGGAAGUACGGCCGCAAGGCUAAAACUCAAAGGAAUAGACGGGGACUCACACAAGCGGUGGAUCACGUGGCUUAAUUCGACGCAACGCGAAGAACCUUACCAGCUCUUGACAUCUUCUGUUCACCCUAGAGAUAGGGCUUCCCCUUCGGGGGCAGAAAGACAGGUGGUGCAUGGUUGUCGUCAGCUCGUGUCGUGAGAUGUUGGGUUAAGUCCCAUAACGAGCGCAACCCCUAUUGUUAGUUGCCAGCAUUCAGUUGGGCACUCUAGCGAGACUGCCGGUGAUAAACCGGAGGAAGGUGGGGAGGACGUCAAAUCAUCAUGCCCCCUAUGAGCUGGGCUACACACGUGCUACAAUGGACGGUACAACGGGUAGCGAGGGCGCGAGCCUUAGCAAAUCCUAAUAAGCCGUUCUCAGUUCGGAUUGUUCUCUGCAACUCGAGAGCAUGAAGCCGGAAUCGCUAGUAAUCGCGGAUCAGAAUGCCGC
rnacentral:rRNA from 1 species